UAUUCCGAGCGAAAUUUUCUUAACGAUAUUUUGUCAAAUUAACAGCGUACAAAGUGUAAGAAGCCGGUUUAUACAGUUCAUUAUAAGUUUUUCUUCCUUUGUGUGCUAAUAUUUUAUCAUAUUAGUCUAUAAUUUAAAAUAUUUUGUAUAAAAACAUAACCUGUUACUUUACGCUAGGGCUUGACAAAAUGUUCAUAUGACAGUAUCGAUAACUUGUCGGUAUAUUAAUAGCUAUAUAUUAGCUUUUAUAACCGACUUCAAAUAAUAACGAUUGUUAUACCUUUUUGAAGGUGCUCAUGUUUAGCGGUAAAUUUAAACUUCACUUUCCAACACAGUAAGAGAUACAUUAAGAUAAGUCUGCAACGAUUUUGAUAGCACACGCAGUGCAAGUGUUAUUUAUACGUCAUAAUGUCGUAGAAUUUUAACGUUUAGAAUAACACAUUUGAAAAAGUAGUCGAUAAAGCAAUCAAACAUCGACAGAUUAUUAAUAUGUUGUAACAUGACAUCACUAUUUUUGAUCUCACAUAGACAAUUUACGCACA